rnacentral:rRNA from 1 species
CAGCAGGCGCGAAAACUUUACAAUGCUGGCAACAGCGAUAAGGGGACCUUGAGUGCCAGGAUACAAUCCUGGCUGUCGUGAUGCCUAAAAAGCAUUAUAUAGCAAGGGCCGGGCAAGACCGGUGCCAGCCGCCGCGGUAACACCGGCGGCUCGAGUGGUAACCGCUAUUAUUGGGUCUAAAGGGUCUGUAGCCGGCUUGGUUAGUCUCUUGGGAAAUCCGGCAGCUUAACUGUCGGGCUUUCAGGAGAUACUGCCAGGCUCGAGACCGGGAGAGGUGAGAGGUACUUCAUGGGUAGGGGUGAAAUCUUGUAAUCCUUGAAGGACCACCAGUGGCGAAGGCGUCUCACCAGAACGGAUCUGACGGCAAGGGACGAAAGCUAGGGGCACGAACCGGAUUAGAUACCCGGGUAGUCCUAGCCGUAAACGAUACUCGCUAGGUGUCGGCCACGGUGCGACCGUGGUCGGUGCCGUAGGGAAGCCGUGAAGCGAGCCACCUGGGAAGUACGGCCGCAAGGCUGAAACUUAAAGGAAUUGGCGGGGGAGCA